rnacentral:rRNA from 1 species
GCAUAUCAUAGCGGAGGAAAAGAACCAACAGGGAUUGCCUAGUACGGCGAGUGAGCGGCAACAGCUCAAAUUUGAAAUCUGGCUCUCGGGCCCGAGUUGUAAUUUGUAGAGGAUGCUUUUGAUGCGGUGCCUUCCGAGUUCCCUGGAACGGGACGCCAUAGAGGGUGAGAGCCCCGUCUGGUUGGAUGCCAAAUCUCUGUAAAGCUCCUUCGACGAGUCGAGUAGUUUGGGAAUGCUGCUCUAAAUGGGAGGUAUAUGUCUUCUAAAGCUAAAUACCGGCCAGAGACCGAUAGCGCACAAGUAGAGUGAUCGAAAGAUGAAAAGCACUUUGAAAAGAGAGUUAAAAAGUACGUGAAAUUGUUGAAAGGGAAGCGUUUAUGACCAGACUUGGGCUUGGUUAAUCAUCUGGGGUUCUCUCCAGUGCACUUUUCCAGUCCAGGCCAGCAUCAGUUUUCGCCGGGGGAUAAAGGCUUCGGGAAUGUGGCUCUCUCCGGGGAGUGUUAUAGCCCGUUGCGUAAUACCCUGGCGGGGACUGAGGUUCGCGCAUCUGCAAGGAUGCUGGCGUAAUGGUCAUCAACGACCCGUCUUGAAACACGGACC